UACGUAGGGUGCAAGCGUUGUCCGGAAUUAUUGGGCGUAAAGAGCUCGUAGGCGGUCUGUUGCGUCCGCUGUGAAAACUCGGGGCUUAACCCCGAGCCUGCAGUGGAUACGGGCAGACUAGAGGUAGGUAGGGGAGACUGGAAUUCCUGGUGUAGCGGUGAAAUGCGCAGAUAUCAGGAGGAACACCAAUAGCGAAGGCAGCUCGCUGGGACGUUACUGACACUGAGGCGCGAAAGCGUGGGGAGCGAACAGG
rnacentral:rRNA from 1 species